rnacentral:rRNA from 1 species
CCCCGCCUGGGGAGUACGAUCGCAAGGUUGAAACUCAAAGGAAUUGACGGGGGCCCGCACAAGCGGUGGAGCAUGUGGUUUAAUUCGACGCAACGCGAAGAACCUUACCAGGGCUUGACAUCUAUCUGAAGUGUUUUAGAGAUAAGACAUUACCUUCGGGACAGAUAGACAGGUGGUGCAUGGUUGUCGUCAGCUCGUGUCGUGAGAUGUUGGGUUAAGUCCCGCAACGAGCGCAACCCUUAUUCUUAGUUGCCAGCAAGUGAAGUUGGGCACUCUAAGGAGACUGCCGGUGACAAACCGGAGGAAGGUGGGGAUGACGUCAAAUCAUCAUGCCCUUUAUGUCCUGGGCUACACACGUGCUACAAUGGCCGGUACAACGGGUUGCGAGACUGUGAAGUUUAGCCAAUCCCUUAAAGCCGGUCUCAGUUCGGAUUGCAGGCUGCAACUCGCCUGCAUGAAGUCGGAAUCGCUAGUAAUCGCGAAUCAGCACGUCGCGGUGAAUACGUUCCCGGGCCUUGUACACACCGCCCGUCACACCACGAAAGCCGGCAACACCCGAAGUCGGUGACUUAACCGUAAGGAGAGAGCCGCCGAAGGUGGGGUUGGUGAUUGGGGUGAAGUCGUAACAAGGUAACCAAGGGCGAA